CGGUGUUUACUUGUAUCGCUGUGCACUAGACUGGUAAACUGUUGUUUUUGUUAAUUUAUUUCUCAUGGAGAACGGAAUUCGCUGGUAUACGCUUAUAUCUUUAAAUAAGAUCUUGGAAGUCACGGAUUACCGAACAUUUGGCAAGCACGUGCGCCUCCAACACCCAGUCUCCCUUAGCUAUUGGCACAUCAUAAACCUGAGGUCGUGUCACAGCAAUUAACGGACCCAUUAACCACGAAAGCACCUGGGGCCCUUUUGACUCCUUGUGACCCUCCCUGUGGCGGAUGUCACUCUCAUGUAAAUAUUAAAGAUGUAUAGGGAAAGGUAUUUGAUCUCCAUGUUUCGCCAUAUGAUCACUUGUUAUACUGUGUGAAAUAAAUAUUCAUUACUUUUUUAUCGUAUUGGACAUAUAUAGAAAAUUUCAGUGUAU